UACGUAGGGUGCGAGCGUUAAUCGGAAUUACUGGGCGUAAAGCGUGCGCAGGCGGUUUUGUAAGCCAGAUGUGAAAUCCCCGGGCUCAACCUGGGAGUGGCAUUUGGGACUGCAAGGCUCGAGUGCGGCAGAGGAGACUGGAAUUCCUGGUGUAGCAGUGAAAUGCGUAGAUAUCAGGAGGAAUACCGAUGGCGAAGGCAGGUCUCUGGGCUGACACUGACGCUCAUGCACGAAAGCGUGGGGAGCAAACAGG
rnacentral:rRNA from 1 species